CAGCAGCCGCGGGAAUACGUUGGGUGCGAGCGUUAAUCGGAAUUAUUGGGCGUAAAGCGUGCGCAGGCGGUUCGUUAAGUCUGUUGUGAAAGCCCCGGGCUCAACCUGGGAAUGGCAAUGGAUACUGGCGAGCUAGAGUGUGUCAGAGGAUGGUGGAAUUCCCGGUGUAGCGGUGAAAUGCGUAGAGAUCGGGAGGAACAUCAGUGGCGAAGGCGGCCAUCUGGGACAACACUGACGCUGAGGCACGAAAGCGUGGGGAGCAAACAGGAUUAGAUACCCCGGUAGUCCCUGUCUCUUAUAC
rnacentral:rRNA from 1 species